AUCUGGUUCAGGAUGAACGCUAGCUACAGGCUUAACACAUGCAAGUCGAGGGGCAGCAUGAAAGUAGCUUGCUACUUUGAUGGCGACCGGCGCACGGGUGCGUAACACGUAUCCGAAUCUACCCAUGGGCUCAGGGAUAGCCUUUCGAAAGAAAGAUUAAUACCUGAUGGUUUCAUGAGCCCGCAUGGACUUAUGGAAUAAAGAUUUAUCGGCGAUGGAUGAGGAUGCGUCCGAUUAGAUAGUAGGCGGGGUAACGGCCCACCUAGUCGACGAUCGGUAGGGGCUCUGAGAGGAGGAUCCCCCACAUUGGAACUGAGACACGGUCCAAACUCCUACGGGAGGCAGCAGUGAGGAAUAUUGGUCAAUGGGCGAGAGCCUGAACCAGCCAAGUAGCGUGAGGGAUGACUGCCUAUGGGUUGUAAACCUCUUUUGUUUGGGAAUAAAGUGAGCCACGUGUGGCUUUUUGUAUGUACCUUACGAAUAAGCAUCGGCUAAUUCCGUGCCAGCCGCGGC
rnacentral:rRNA from 1 species